CUUGACUUCUGAGCUACAGAGCUAGUGAGCUUGCGGACCACCUAAAGUCUGAGCCGAUCAAAUAUUAGGGUUUGUAAUAAAGCAGCUUCCAGCUUCGAGGACGACGAACUUCGCACAGUGACAAUGAUUUACGACGUCAACUCGCCGCUGUUCCGCUCGUUUCUCAGCCAGAAAGGAGGCGGUUCCGAUAAGAGGAAAACUGAAGAGCAAAAGCCAAAGGAACAGAAGCCUAAAGCGAAUGAAAACAAGCCUGUUAUGAAUGAAUAAUAGCUUCCUGAUGUAUGCAAAUCCAGGCAUUAUAGAAUGCUUUUGAAGUUGUUAAUAAACUGUUUUGAACUCUAUCUGGCAUCUGCUGUGUGCUGUAACAUGAUGUUGAAAAUUCUGCUGCAAGUAUGUAAACUAUGGGCUGUUUUCUAUCCUGAAUUGCAGUAUAUGUGAUCAACUCUUCUACUAAAUCUUCAAUUGAUUUGACAGAUUUUGCUAAA